UGGUUUAGCUAACCAUACAAAUCCAAAGAAAAGAAUUAGUAGGAGAGUUUCAGUCUUAUCUGUUAAACCCACCUCCUAUUAUUAGGACUCCUCUCUUUCCACAAAGACAGUGCAGAGGAGCAAUGGUGAGCAGAGGACCGUCGCCUUUAGUGCCGUCGCUAAUGGUGGGUGCAUUAGGAUUGGUUAUACUUGGUCCUACCUUGCUCACUUUGAUGGAAUAUGUGCUGCCCUUGUUUGAAGCAAGUGAAGAAGGAAGUCCCUUGAUCCUGCUUUAGUUCGGGUUCGGGUUACGAUGAUGGACUUGGACUAGGAUCAGUUCUUCUAUUUCUGCUCUUUCUGUUUCUGUAUAAUGUUUUGUGAGUUUGUUCAAACACCCAAAAUUACUAGCUAUAUGACGACAGAAGCAAAAAUAUCCAGUUCA